rnacentral:rRNA from 1 species
UACGUAGGGUGCGAGCGUUAAUCGGAAUUACUGGGCGUAAAGCGCGCGUAGGUGGAUAUUUAAGUCGAAUGUGAAAUACCUGGGCUUAACCUGGGAACUGCAUCCGAUACUGAAUGUCUUGAGUAUGGUAGAGGGAAGUGGAAUUUCUGGUGUAGCGGUGAAAUGCGUAGAUAUCAGAAAGAACAUCAGUGGCGAAGGCGGCUUCCUGGACCAAUACUGACACUGAGGUGCGAAAGCGUGGGGAGCAAACAGG